rnacentral:rRNA from 1 species
AGAACGAACGCUGGCGGCAGGCCUAACACAUGCAAGUCGAGCGCUGUAGCAAUACAGAGCGGCGCACGGGAGAGUAACGCGUGGGAACCUACCUUUUGGUUCGGGAUAACAUCGGGAAACUGAUGCUAAUACCGAAUACGCCCUUCGGGGGAAAGAUUUAUCGCCAUUAGAUGGGCCCGCGUUGGAUUAGCUAGUUGGUGAGGUAAUGGCUCACCAAGGCAACGAUCCAUAGCUGGUCUGAGAGGAUGAUCAGCCUCACUGGGACUGAGACACGGCCCAGACUCCUACGGGAGGCAGCAGUGGGGAAUAUUGGACAAUGGGGGCAACCCUGAUCCAGCCAUGCCGCGUGAAUGAUGAAGGCCUUCGGGUUGUAAAGUUCUUUUGGCGGGACGAUGAUGACUGUACCCGCAGAAUAAGCUCCGGCUAACUUCGUGCCAGCAGCCGC